CGAAUGACUCUAGGGAUAUGAUAUGUUUGCUCUCGCAUCGAUGAAGAACGUAGUGAAAUGCUAUGCCUGGUGUGAAUUGCAUAAUCCAAUGAACCAUCGAGUCUUUGAACGCAAGUUGCACCCGAGCCCAUCCGGCCAAGGGCACGCCUGCCUGGGCGUCACAC
rnacentral:rRNA from 1 species